rnacentral:rRNA from 1 species
GACGAACGCUGGCGGCGUGCUUAACACAUGCAAGUCGAACGGAAAGGCCCUGCUUUUGUGGGGUGCUCGAGUGGCGAGCGGGUGAGUAACACGUGAGUAACCUGCCCUUGACUUUGGGAUAACUUCAGGAAACUGGGGCUAAUACCGGAUAGGAGCUCCUGCUGCAUGGUGGGGGUUGGAAAGUUUCGGCGGUUGGGGAUGGACUCGCGGCUUAUCAGCUUGUUGGUGGGGUAGUGGCUUACCAAGGCUUUGACGGGUAGCCGGCCUGAGAGGGUGACCGGCCACGUUGGGACUGGGAUGCGGCCCAGACUCCUACGGGAGGCAGCAGUGGGGUAGAUUGCACAAUGGGCGGAAGCCUGAUGCAGCAACGCCGCGUGCGGGAUGACGGCCUUCGGGUUGUAAACCGCUUUCGCCUGUGACGAAGCGUGAGUGACGGUAAUGGGUAAAGAAGCACCGGCUAACUACGUG